rnacentral:rRNA from 1 species
AGAGCGAACGCUGGCGGCAGGCUUAACACAUGCAAGUCGAACGGAUCCUUCGGGAUUAGUGGCGGACGGGUGAGUAACACGUGGGAACGUGCCUUUUGGUUCGGAACAACUCAGGGAAACUUGAGCUAAUACCGGAUGUGCCCUUCGGGGGAAAGAUUUAUCGCCAUUAGAGCGGCCCGCGUCUGAUUAGCUAGUUGGUGAGGUAAAGGCUCACCAAGGCGACGAUCAGUAGCUGGUCUGAGAGGAUGACCAGCCACAUUGGGACUGAGACACGGCCCAAACUCCUACGGGAGGCAGCAGUGGGGAAUCUUGCGCAAUGGGCGAAAGCCUGACGCAGCCAUGCCGCGUGGAUGAUGAAGGUCUUAGGAUUGUAAAAUCCUUUCAGCGGGGACGAUAAUGACGGUACCCGCAGAAGAAGCCCCGGCUAACUUCGCGCCAGCAGCCGC